AUAUAGAAGUACAAGGAAAGGG
rnacentral:snRNA from 1 species